AAACUGAGAGCUACUGAAACAGCGAAGUGCAGAAAUACAAUUGGGAGCAGCUGGAAGCAGAGCAAACCUGCAGGCUUCUGCAGAACGAGACAACUGUAGCCUCCUUCCUUUUGGCAGAGUUUUCCUGAUGAUGCUUCUUAUCCAGUCUCCACGUGUCAAAUGUUUGAAGAUUUGGAGUUUUCUUUCAGAGAAAGAGAAAAAAUACCACUGAUGACAUGUUACAUUUGAUUGGGAAAAUUUGCUAGAGACAAUAUUUAACCAGAAUCCACCUCUUGGUUACUUGGUAGUAUCAUCUGAUCCCAAGUACAUAUAAUUGUAAUCUGGUCCUAAUUAAAGCAAAUGAGUUAUAGACCGCCAAGAGAGGGAAGGCAUUUCCAACAUUGGCAGGUUCUGACAAAACAUUAAACUGGAAAUUGAACCUGAAGCCAAGUUCCAUAUAUUACAAUUUUGUGGGCACAUUGUUAGUCCUGCACGUUAAUAUUCGGUCUCAGUUUCUGUUCCAAAUUAAUUUUCAAGUAUUUUCUUUGCUUUGGUCAGGAUUUUCUGGGAUCUGGCAGGGACUUCUCAUGUAGGGGAAUCUAUACUGCAUUUCAGUCAAUGGGAAAAUUAAGAAAUACACUGACAGAAUACUAAAUUCAGUAAGGAUCUAAAGAGAGAGUUUAGUUAGUAAAGUUUGCUUUGCUUUAUACGCAAACACAGAGCAUGAGACUGAUCCCCCAGACCCACAUCAUAAUCUAGGCAUGGUGGUCCAUCUUGACCAAUUCUAAUUUCAAUGAACCCAGAAGAUUAAAGAACUUUCUAGAAGUUUUGUUCAACUCCAUGAGAUCUGGUUCAAGUCUGCAUGGCUAGUAGCCGACCUGAGGAAGCUUGGGCGACUCCUUCUUUGCUAAGUCCUUCUAAAUCCUCCCCUGGCAUAAACUGUCUUCUCAACUUCUACUACAAAGCAGUUUCCCUUCCCAGUCCUUGGCUUCCACCUCCACCCUCCCCUGUUGUUCCAUGCUCUGCUUCCACCCUUGGAGCGUCCAGGAAGAUGCUGCUCGGAAAGAUGAAUCAGAGCCGAAAUGGGACAGGUCUGCAGGAUCCCAGUACUGAUGGGACCAGGAGUCUGGGAGAAAGCCUUUUCCAAUACAGCUUCACAAGUGCUACAACCUUUUAGCUCGGAGCCCUCCCAGUGACACCACAACUCUCAGUGCAUUUAUUUGGGGUGAGCCAAGGCUAUAUGCACCUUGGGGAAUGGAAAGGAAUUUCUAGGGUAAGGUGCAUGUCGUUGGCUAAGACUGAUAUGCAGAGAACCCUUUAUUUGAAUGGAGAGGAAUUUCGGGUGCCAGGCUACCUGACUACGUCAAGAACUGUGAAGGUGGUGGACUAUGUGAUGGGGCAUGGAGGAACAGAACCAGGAGGGAGAAAUCCUGACCCCUGCCAGUCUCAAGAUAGAAAAUGUGGAGGUUGGAUAUGUCUCAACCUCGCUCUUGCUUCAGGAGGGUUUCCCUGAUGGCACAGCCCACUGGCCGAACAUCUCCCCCAUUCAUUCUUCUUCCUUGUCUUUUCAGGAAAGGGGAGGCCUCCAUGAAUACCAAUCAGCUUUGGCAUAUCAAGUAAGUCUAGGCAGAUCUUCUACUGAGGCUAAAUGAGGCAGCCCAGUAGGAAAGGGUAACAAAGGCAGGCAACAGAGUCAGACAGAGACAGCCCCUGCUCCUGCUGUUGAGUCCCGCGUGAAGACCAAGCCACACAGCUGUUAUAUAUGUGCAGAUGACCCAGGCCAAUCCUAUGCAGGCUCCCAUUUGUUGGGUCAGUCUCUGUGAGCAAAUAUGGGUCCCAGGUUAGUUGAUUCUGUAGGUUUUCUUAUGGUGUCCUUGACCUACUUGGCUACUAGAACCUUUCUCUCCCUCUUCUGCGAGAUUCCCCAAGCUUUGCCUAAAGUUUGGCUGUGGAUCUUUGUACCAGUUUCCAUCAGUUGCUGGGUGAAACCUCUCUGAUGAUAGUUAAGCGAAGCGCCUGUCCCUAAGUAUAGCAGAACACCAUUAAAAGUUUCAGGGUUGGGCUCUCCCUCUCUCAUGGCGUGGGUCUCAGGCUGGACUGGUCAUUGCUUGGCCAUUCCCUCAAUUUCUGCUCCAUCUUUAAUCCUGCACUUUUUGUAGGAAGAAUUGCAGGUCCAUACAACUUAUAUAAUUCAUAGAGAUACUUCUAUAGUUUUCUUGAAAAUUGUUGCUUUAGAAAGCUAAAGCAAAUCCCUAUCUAUUCCAUACCAGUGAAAUUUAUGUUAUUUUCAUAAAGUUUUAAAAUUAAAUUUAUUUACUUUGCACAUACUAGUGUUUGUGUGGGUGUGGGAGUGUGUGGGGUGUGUUUUGGUGUACAUGAGGGCACAUGUGUGGAGAUCAGAGGACAACUUUCAGGAGUCCAUUUGGUGGGUACUGGGGUUGAAUUUACAUCCUCAGUCUUGGCAGCAAGAGCUUUUAUUAUUCAUUGGGCCAUCUCAAAGGUCCUUUCUCUUGGUACUUACCCUUCCUUUGACACAAGGUCUCAUGUAGUCCAUGCUGAAGUCAAACUCCCGCUUCUGCUUCCCAGGUACAUAUUUUCUGGAAGCCAUUUCACUAGUCCCUCCCUGCCACCCUAGCAGGUUGCACUCCCACAAAAAGAAUUGUGGCUCUACAGAAUUAUGACAAUGUUCUUCUAAUCCCAAGUAGCAUUAAACUCUUCAAGUUUUUAAUCAAAUUGAACACUGUUAUAUUUUGC